UUUGGAUAAACUCCGAGUCUUCCAAAAAAAAAAAAGAAAUGAACAUUUAAGUCAAUUUUGUGGCAAUUUUUGAGUGGUUAAGUUGGGAGGUUGAUGAUCGUUCCACUUUGCUGGAAACAGAAUUCAAAAUUAGCCUUGUUCCUCGAGAAAGUUGAUAGCAAUAAGUGUCCCUUUAUUUUGUAGUGAGUUCCCUCCUCUUUAACCUUCCACUUUUUGACUUUAGUCAUAAUUAUAUUUAUACUUUGUCCACCACUGACUGAAUUUAACACACACAUCCUUCUUCUUCUUCCCUGACUUCCCUUCAAUUUUCAGUCUCAUGCCAGGGCCCUCUCUACAUCAGGAGCAUUAGAGAAAGAGAAACCAAGGUAGACAAGGAUGAGUGCACACCAACAACAAAACACAUUCCAUUCAAAUCAUAUUUAUGUUUGUUACAUCAUAAAUCAGUAAAACAAAAUGUAAAGGACACUCACACUUUCAGAGAAUUGUGGGCUGGGAAUUCCUGCUGCCAAGGAUCUAAAAAGUGGUAUUACAUGCAUGGGGGAGCUGAAUUCCGAACUUGAAAAGGAAGAGGCAAAGGAUUCAAUUUUUCGUUCAUUGCAACACUUGAAAGUCUCUGCUGCAGUAAAACACUUCAUCUUCUUAGUAGCACAUUAUCAUGAGAAAGAUCAAUCGCCUCUAUAAGCAAUGGUGGUAAACCGGUUUUUCACUGCAUUGUCCGUUCUGCAUGAGCCAUAUCACAAAGAAAUGCUUAGUGAAUUUGCAGCAAAAUUGAACUGCAAUAAGAAAACUCGACAGUUCUAUACCUGCCUGACACCACCUUUGCUAUUUCUGUCCAUCUAUUUCCAAAUAUUUUCUGUGCCUGUAGACCAGGUUAAUUUAUUAGAUAUAGGGGCAUCCAAUGACGUGGGAAUGCUCAAAAGUUUGAACACAUAUUGACCAUUUGGCUACUUUAACUUUUAAGAGACCACAGCAUGUGCUAAUAUUUGCUAAUCCGAGGCAUUUUAACAUUAUAUAUCAAGGAUUCAAUUUCACUCAUACAAUUAAGAGAUGUAAUAAAAUUACAUUUACAGUA